rnacentral:misc_RNA from 1 species
UUUCCGUAGGUGAACCUGCGGAAGGAUCAUUCAUAAUAAGUGUUUUAUGGCACUUUUUUAAAUCCAUAUCCACCUUGUGUGCAAUGUCAGGGUUGAUUUUUCUCUCGAGAGGAUCAACCCCAAACAUCAACUACAUCUCAACUCUUUGUCUGAAAAAUAUUAUGAAUAAAACAAUUCAAAAUACAACUUUCAGCAACGGAUCUCUUGGCUCUC